UUCCUAUGUAAACCCAGCAAAAGAUCGAGGGAAGAAGAAAGGAAAAGGUGAGAUCUGAUUACAUCUGAUGAACUGGAUUUUAUUAUUUUUACUUCUGAUUUGUUUGGGUGACUGUGAAUAUCGACGCGGCGAUGACGAAUCACGUGGGCGGGAAGGCCGGAAUCGCUGACUGGACCAGGCUUUAGGUACUUCAAAGGCUGGUGGACCAAUUCCCUCCUUUAAAAGCAUUUCAUUUUAUCCUUGACGACACUGAUGAGAUCCAACAACUGCAACUCCAGACCAUCCUCCUUCUGAGAGGGAAAGAGUCAUCGAAACAAGUAGAAGAGAAUUAUUCAUCUCUGAACCAGACAAAAAAGCCAAGAGUACUUACAACUUUUGAAGACUUGGGGAUAUGGGUGGAUGUCUUUGCUACUAGUGAAGUCAGCAUUUGCUUGAGGUUGGACCCAUCAAAAUUUUGGAGCAGAUAGCUUAUUCAGCAGGGAAGCGGAUGAUAUCAUGCUCCAUGUUGCUGCUUGAAACUUGACCAUGUUGUGGAAGAACUGGAGAAAAUUGCUGUUGUCAAUCUUCUUCAGCACCGAUCAAUAAUAUCUCUCAUUAGAGAUGUACAGAAAUCAUCACUAAUAUUAGAGAAGGUGUUGUAUUGUGUUUUGCCAAGUACUUAGAAAGCAUUCCUUAUUGUCUUUUGUUCUCUGAUUGAUGACAAGUGGUGUUCAAUUGAUCAAAGAGGUUUAUCAGCUAUAUAUGUAUUUUAAUCUGGUAUUCAUG
rnacentral:lncRNA from 1 species